UUGCGAUUGACCUUGCGUUAAUGGUUUUUGUAAGCGAUAGAAGCGAUGCCGCGCGUUAUCGCGCGUUGUCGCGGACAGUCGCUGCGUUUUACCUGGCGACAGAAAUAUUCGUCGCAUCGCUCGUCGCAACCGAAGUAUAAACCCACCUUAAGUAGUGUUUAAUAGUGUGAUCACUAUUGCCAUGAUUGUGUAGUGUAGAAGUCCCCCCUUUCCCUCCGCUGUAUUUACAAGGGUGUCUAUUUAUGACUGAAAUUAUCCAUAUUUUUUUUUUAAUGCCUUUAUUAUGCAUGAUGUAGCACUGAUUUUGACACUGUUGUCAAAGAUAAUAAUUACAUGAAUUACACAUGAAUUACAAUGUUGUUGAUGAAAUUUUAGUUUUACAUAUUUGUCAUUUGCUUGAUUUAGGAAAUUAUUACCAUGUACAAUGUCAAGCUGUAUGAAGGGUUUCCUUCUUCUUUUGAAUUGUCAGACUAAACAGGAUCUUGAUUACACACAUGGUUUUUUUUUUUUUUUUUUUCCUGUUUGGCGACUUCGUUUGGGUUAAGGUGCUUCAUAUUGACACUUGUUCAUUGUUGCUUAUUGAUACCAUGUUUGGUAUAAUUGUAUAUUAUUGCAUUAUUAUAAUAAAGCACCUUUCGCCAAACACUAUUAGUUGUCAAUUGCGUACAAUGGGAGGCAACUCUCAUUGUACCUAAUUGAUAACGCCGUGUACUAGAUUUGCCUCCCCUUGUUGCGUCAUCCGAUGCUUAGUUAGCAUGUGGUUUUAGCAAAGAGCAUGUUCCAGCCACAUUUUAUUAUGUAUUUGAUUAAUUUUUUUUUUUCCUUCCUUAUAAUUUAUAUUUAAUCUUACCCAGAUUGGGUUAAGGUGCUUCAUAUUGACACUUGUUCAUUGUUGCUUAUUGAUACCAUGUUUAGUAUAAUUGUAUAUUAUUGCAUUAUUAUAAUAAAGCACCUUUCACCAAACACUAUUAGUUGUCAAUU
rnacentral:lncRNA from 1 species